ensembl:lncRNA
CACUUGAGUUUCACUUGCUCCCCCGGCCUCCCCCGCCCUGUCGGAAAAACCACUCCUGUCUGAUUGGUCUGUUUCAUUUACUGGGCCAAAACCACGCAUGGUUUGAUUGGACUGUUUCAUUUGCGUCCCGAGACGUGAUUGGCUGCCGGCGGGGAGCGCAAGUUAUCAUAAGCUCCUCCAGCCGAAAAAUGUCCACUACUUUGAAAGUUUUCAACCGUCACUAGUGUUCUACCAUCACGAAAUGUCUUUUGUUCCCCGUUUCCGGUUCGAACCCCCUUCCUCUGAGCUCACCCCCUUCGCACCUCUGAUGCCUCCAACGCCGGGCUGUUUCGACCCAUGGUGAAGGCCGUCGCCAGGCGUAGGUUGUGCGAGGGCUCCGUGUCUACCAGGGGGCUGGGCGACGCGCGGGUGUGGUUCAGGGUGCACUCACACCGGACCUACAAGUCCCUGUAUGGCGCGCGGGACCAAGAGAGUCGAACAGUCCGACAGCGCUGCUGCUCCUCCUCCUCCUCUUCCAUCAAAGAGGAAGCACAGGGGGGCGCCACGCUUCAAGUCUCACCUGAGGCAGGACACCCGGGUGCUGGAGGAGCAAAAGGGGAAGCCCCAAUGCCAGACGGGGGACCCCUGCCCCACGUGCGCCCAACCCAGGACCCUGGACACGGGGCACGCGCUCUACAAGAGCAGCGUGUACUGCGAGUCGGAGGCGGGCCCUGGGUGCCUCACCGCUCGUGAGUGGCUCAUCAGCCAACAGGCCCUGGAGGACGCCGGGAAGGUGCCCAGGACCACCCUGUGGAACAUCGCCCGCAGGAAGGAGGGGCAGGUCGGCGGCUCCUCUUCCCCUGGACGCAAACCGCACUAGCUGCAGAUCUACCAGCGGUGCCUCCAGCCGGCGCAGAAAGACUUUGGCCAUAGUCGGUAAGAGGGGGAGAGUUUCUGCUCCCUCUACGUCGGCAAAGGCGUAGACCUGUGGCUGGCCGAGAGGAGGGACCGCAAGAGGCGAAAGCCAAAGAGGAAGCAGAGGAAGCAGCGGGAGGAGAGGAGGGUGAAGGGCCCGGCGUCAGACCUUGGAGAGGAACACAGCCCCGGCAGAGUGUGAGGCUGCUCCUCCCCGGGAACCCCCCUCCUGUGUUGUGCUUGUUGUUAUUUAAUAAAUCUAUUUGUAUUACACACGCUUGUCCCUUCUUUUUAGUUUAAGCAACAAGUCCACAACAACAAUGAUAACAAAUGUUUUGUUUAGUUGAAUAAUAAAAAAGCAAUACAUUAAAAGCGUCUCGAAAUAAAGCCAUUCUUUAAGAAACAAUCACAUUGAAAACAAAGCCUUCUUUAAUAAGCAAUACAUUGAAUAUAAAGCCAUUCUUUAAUAAACAAAUGCAUUGAAAAUAAAGCCUUCUUUGAUAAACAAGCGAUGUAUUGCAAUAACGGACACAGGUUGAAUUAGACAAACGCUUGUUUAACGGACACAGGUUGAAUUAGACAAUGCUUGUUUAUAACGGCACCGGUCCCUCGACAUGGGCGUUUCCACCCGUGUCCCGACCUGACCCUGUGCGUUCCGUUUCGUUCCGGUCGUUCCGAUUUCGGCCUCUGCUUAAAGCCGACGAUGCGUUCCAAUUUCGACCCCGAACCGUCGGUUGGACCGGACGAAUUCCCGGUCCGAGGUGCCCGCCGGGACCGGGACGGGACAGAGGUGCGGUGGCCGGAAGGGGGCGCCAAAGGGGACCGUCCUGCGGCUGCGCCGCGGGCUGGACCCCGAUAGUGAAGAACGGUAACCUUCCUAUAACGUGGCUAAGAAACGUUCUUCUCUUUAUUUAUCCGACAGAAAAGAGGAAAAAAACCCACGUCACUCGUCGCGUCGAUAAAGAACUUCUUUUUUUUUACAACCCAGCAAUCAGCGAACGACAACAGAGACACCCAAAGCGUCGGAUCGAAUCCCCGUGAAAUCAACGCUUUUGACCGGCCGUUCUCGUCGGAAAUGAAGACGAGAACCCUUUGUUAUGUUAUAAUUAUUAUUACAUUACAAUAUGCAAAAUAUGACAGACCAAAAGCACUUAUUGUGAAUUGUAUUUUCUUGUCUUGUUACUUAUAGACCUGAAUUGCAUCCUUGUCCAAUAGGUGGCGCUCUCGAAUAAUGUCUGUAGAGUGUGGUGUGGGGAGGGGGGUCUUGACCUUGGUAACCGUUUUGUACUUAUUUAGAAUGAGAUCGUAUUUACUUAACGGUUGCAAAGUUAUACUUUAUGUCCAAUAUGGGGCGCUCUCGGAUAAUGUUUGUAGAGUGUGGUGUGGGGAGGGUGGCCUUGACCUUGGUGACCAUUUUGUAUUUGUUUAGAAUGAUAUUGUUACGUAUUUUAAGCACAUAAGCUGCCCCCACAUAGCCGCUGGGAAGCAGGUUCGAACAGACAAGCUGCAUAACCCUCACAUAGCCACUAGGAAGCAGGAUCGAACACAUAAGCUGCAAUAACUACUCCGGCCACAGAUGGCAGCACCUUUAGACAAGCGUGGAGGGAGGAACUAUUACGUCGCACCGGCCACGCCCACUUGACCCUAUCAAGCUCGACAGAGAGAUUGGAGUGCAGAGCUGUUAGCCAGACCCGCAGAGAGCCUGGGGCUCGAAGUAGCUCUACGGUAUUUCUCUCACACGCGUUAGAUACAAUUCCCUCCCUUCUGCUUCAUAGUUACCAUACCAAAAUGAACCAACGAAGACGGAGGACUACUCUGAGUUACCUUACCAAAAUGAACCAACGAAGCAUGUUGACGGAGGACUACUCUAAGAAAAAAAGUAGAACCACCACUGGGAUCGGUGAUUCUGUGGUUCUUGGAGACUCUGCAUCGCGUCGGAACACCAUGUGUAAAGGACAAUAGGUGGAUUGACACCACAUCUGCUGGGAAGGAGUCAUACCUGCUAUGUUGUCAAAUUGGAUUCGGAAGUAGUGGGUUUGCCUUCAAAUGCCACUAAUGCCGCUGCGACACUUUAAUAAUUUUAACUCUGAUACAUUAUCUUUUGUUUAAUAGUCGCCCUGAUGUGUAUUCAUUACGCACACAUAUGGCUGCAUAAGGCAGAUGCGGCUGAAGACUGUCUCCAUCCCUCCACUUUGCGAUCUAUACCACCAUAUAGGUGGGGAUUGAUCGUAUCCCAGGUACGGCAUCCUGCAAUAAGCCAGUAUGGAAGGCUGGUUAGCCAACGACGGGUAAGAUCCCACCUUGAAGCCCGGGACAACCUAAAACAGGCACAGUCACGAUUACUUGGCAGAGUCAUUGUGAGCAUUGGCUCACUUGAACAUGUAGUGACGAACUGCAAGGGAAAGCCGGCUGAUGAAAGGUGGAGGGGGAACAGGAGUCAGAUAUGUCUGCUCUGGCAGCAGAGGUCGUCUUGAAACGGGGCAUGUCGUUUUAUUUCAUUUUAUUUUACCUUUGUGGUAUAGAAGGCCACUAACGCAUGUACGUUUUUUCGGUUUAGUGCAUGACUUCGGAACAGCGUGGUUUCGGGCGGCUGAUGGUAAACCCACCCAUAUUGGGCUUUGGAUUUGGACAUACUGGUUUCGAUUUCCCUUCCAAAAAGAUUGGUUUCAGUUUGCUGAUGCUUAAGAAGCAGUCCCAUCAGAAGACCAAAGUGCGGUUACGGUAAUCAAGGUUCUGACUAGAGAAGUCAUGCCAAGGUUUGGAAUUCCGUCACAAAUUAGCUCAGGCAAUAGGGCAGCGUUUAUUCAGAAAACACUCAAACAAUUGAUUUAACAUCUGCAUGUCAAACAAAGAUUAGGCUGUGUCUACAUUCCUCAAACCACAAGGUAUGGUGGAGAGAGGAAUCGGACGCUUAAGACAAAGAUUAACAAAAUUAAAUUAGAGUACUAAAUUAAAGGACUAAUGCACUACGACUGACACUAAUGAGUUAUCGCAUGAAAACUAACAGAACGACGCAUCUAACCCCGCAUGAAAUGUUUAGGGGUCGACCCAUGCCUUCACCUGUCAUUCGAGGGCCUCACAAAGGACCUCCAUUGGAACAAUUGGAAACUGAAUUAAGACGCUAUAUGGGACAACUAACUGGCAUACACAGGCUUAUUUUUCAACAGGAGAAAGACAGAGUUCCAGAGUAGGAGAAGGAGCCACCAAGGGGGGUGGAGCCAGGUGACCAAGUGUACCUCAGGAUGUUCAGGAGAAAGUGGAACGAGCCCAGGAGAGAAGGACCAUACAAAGUCACCAACGCAACACCAACAGCCAUCCAAGUGGAAGGAAGGGCCACGUGGUAUCAUCUCAACCACUGCACAAAAGCCGCUCAACCUAAAGCCAGGGAUGAGCGUGAGGAGGAGGAGCCAGACGCAGACACACCUGGGGCUGACCAGCUGCCCCAGGACCAGAUCCAGUCGAGCCAAGAGAUACAGCAACAUGAUGAUGCUGAAAACGGGGAGCCUGUUCCUGAUCCUUUACGGGUUGUGCUAGAUUCCGCUGGCACAAGGACAGACCCCGAGGAGGAAUGAAACCAUGGAGACAACACAGACCUGGAAGAGCCAGGAAUCAGGCUUCCUUCAGUAACAGCCCCUAAGAGAAAGACAGGACAAUCCGGCCCCAACUCACUCAGGAAUAGUCAACAAGAAAGGGAAAAUAGUCCUAUAUGCUCAGAUACCACCGCAGAACCAAGUUAAUGAAUUUGUGUUUUCUGUUAUGUCGGAUAACCAACCGUUAUGUGCAUUAACCUUCAGCCAGUCUGGCAUAGAGGAGUCGGGUGACUGGGAGAGGACGCUCUAUGGGGAGAUAGAUUGGAGUGAAACUAGAGAGGAGACCGGAAUGUGAGAAUCAGACAUUAGAAGGAGGUCCUAUUUUCAUAACUGGUUACCUCACCAUGGGAACCACAACCAUUUCAGACAGUGUGAACAAAUGGACAUUGGACUAAUGGGUUCCAGGGCAUGGUGGCUGCGAACAGAAGCAACUACGGUGCCCAAACCCCCCACGUUAUAUAGUAUACCAGUACAUGACGAUAAUCAGAACUAUCUAAAUCCAUGCAAGCUUGUUGACAAUUUUAGUUUUUAAUUUCUAUUAUUUACUUAUUUUUUGAAAUAUCAUUUUUGAGUUUCAUAUUUUUAUGUCAUAUAUUCUGAAAUGCUAAUUUUCAAUGCAUGCUGAAAAUACUGUGUUAUGUGUGAAUUCUAGUUAGACAUGUUAGACAUUUGAUAGAUCUUUUUUGCCUUAAACCAGGUUGAGACUCCUGAACAUGUUUAAAGGUUUUUUAACGAUGAUCAAAUGUAGUGCAAAAUAUGACCCAAACAACUGUUUUGUUUUUGUUGUGAUCUUAGUAGUCACAAAAGGGGAUAUUUGUGGUAGAAAUGAGUGAGUAUAUUCUAUGGUAAACCAUGAUUAUUAAUAGGUUUAAUAUUUUAAAUGGUGGAAAGCACAUGAUGCUUGCAGAGUCUGGGUUCAGAGCAGAUGGAGCACAGGAAUGUCCAGGGAACUGCGGGGUCAAGUCAUGUUGACCUCAGCCUUUCAGCCUUGGGUCAUCUUGGCUAACGAGGUCAAUCCAUGCGGACCUCAGGCCAGGGCGCGGUUGAUAGCAUGCUGAGACGAAGAUUGACUGGGCGGAAACCCCAUUGGGACUCCAUUGUAACAAAGAAAUUCCUGUAUGUGUAUAAAGUGAAGCUGGAGUCGAUGUUCGAGCAGUGACUCUAUAGACCUACUCAGGCUGUUGUCGUUGUUGUUUUUCUUCACGAUGAAGUCUUUUUUCAAUUCUUGCUCCGGACCCCUCGAUUUAUUUUACACUCUCUCUUAAAUUAGUCUAAGUGUUUUAAAUCUCGAUUAAUCUUCGACAAAGGAUCUCCAGGGUACCAUACUGCACAGGGACGUGCGGCGCCUCAUCAUCCUCAUCCCAGCAGAGGAUCAAGUCGGCGGGCACCAGCUCGCCUGAGAAGUGCGAUCUUUCCGGGUCGCACGACGCAAAGAUCGAGUGGGAGGUGUUGCGGCGAUCUACGGGGAAGUCUGCCUGCGAGUGGGUGCAUCUGAUGGCCUUACUGCGCAUGCGUGCAACAGCGGCGAUCUACCGCGGAAGUCUGCCCGCGAGUGGGUGCACGUCAUGGCCUUACCGCGCAUGCGCACAUCAGCGAGCGAACAGGUGGAUGCAAUUAGUCUAAAUGAGCAGCGCGUGCCAGAGACAAGAGAAGAGACGUGUGCUUGUUCAUUUGUUUGCAACGCGGCAGCAGAAGGAAGAGCUCUCGGACAAGCACAGAGUUAAAACCCAUGGGAAGAGGGAAAAAGAUCAAAGAGGCUACCGGUAAGCUCAGGUCUCUUUACUGGACUGAGUUGUGCUAAUUUAAAUGCUUGACAGGUUUAAUUUAAAAGUAGAAAUGGCUUUCUGGCGUUCAAUGCAUUAUUUUCUGUUUGAAUACUUUUUGCCUAAUUUAAUCUACUUACCUUUUGCCUGAUUUAAUGUACCUUUGUGUUUGAUGGGAAACAUUGAUUUAAUUUGCAUUGUCCUAUCUGUGUAUGUUUGAAGGUUUUUCACCUCAUCAUAUUCAUCGUGCUGGUCAAUACUGGUCAAAUAAAAUGAAGAUUGAGUGAAAUCCUGUGUCUGGUCAAGUCCUUCCCGUUUCAAGUGUGGGAAGCCAUGGUGUU